UACGUAGGGUGCAAGCGUUGUCCGGAAUUAUUGGGCGUAAAGAGCUCGUAGGCGGUCUGUCGCGUCGGAUGUGAAAAUCCAGGGCUUAACCCUGGGCCUGCAUUCGAUACGGGCAGACUAGAGUUCGGUAGGGGAGACUGGAAUUCCUGGUGUAGCGGUGAAAUGCGCAGAUAUCAGGAGGAACACCGGUGGCGAAGGCGGGUCUCUAGGCCGACACUGACGCUGAGGAGCGAAAGCAUGGGGAGCGAACAGG
rnacentral:rRNA from 1 species